rnacentral:lncRNA from 1 species
GCCUCCUCCCCUGCCAAUCAACCGUCCCUCGCGCCUGCGCGGAGCGGCGGUCCAACUGUAGCGGGCGGUUAGAAGGCGGUCCGCUUCUCUCACUGGCCUGCUGGUUAUGACGAUCACCUACAGCUGCGUUGCUAAUGGCCGAGCGGUCCUGGCGGAGCUGGCCUUGACCGGCGGCGCCUAUCAGGAAGCGGCUGCAAAGGUGCUUAGACAAGCGCUUCUGAAAGCUGAGCCAACGACCAUCAUUCAAAUAGGAAGACAAUGGCUUGGAUAUUAUGGCACCAUCUGCAUUUCUUAAAAAAGU